rnacentral:piRNA from 1 species
AUAUAUACAAUAAAUAAGUCUCUUUUU